rnacentral:lncRNA from 1 species
GAUAGCAUGAACAAACGUGACUCCAUUUGGGUUUAUGACUCCAUCCUGUAAAACAACCAUGCCAAGUAGAAGAGUCAUGACUGGAGCAAGAUGUUCUUUUCCUUUUGCUAAAGAAACCUUUAAGAACACGGAACUACCUAAUGGGGUAUUGUUUCAGUAACUAGGGUAAUGGGCUCUGUUUCUGUAACUGGGGUGACUGGGCUAACUGUGAUUGGUUAGGCUUCCCUCCGCUUGGCCGCACUGUCCUGCUUCUGUAACCUGGCUUGCUUGCGUUGGCUUGACCCCCCGAACAUCCCCUUUGCGGUUUUCAGGCUUAUAAGGAGUGCCCUUGCUAUUGUUCGGGGCUGAUCAGGGGAACAGCUUUAUGUUCUGGUCAGCCGCCACCGGUGUGCUUCAAUAAAGGCUUGAUUCGAUGAUACGUGAGUGGUC